UACGAAGGGGGCUAGCGUUGCUCGGAAUUACUGGGCGUAAAGCGCACGUAGGCGGAUCUUUAAGUCAGGGGUGAAAUCCUGGAGCUCAACUCCAGAACUGCCUUUGAUACUGAGGACCUUGAGUUCGGGAGAGGUGAGUGGAACUGCGAGUGUAGAGGUGAAAUUCGUAGAUAUUCGCAAGAACACCAGUGGCGAAGGCGGCUCACUGGCCCGAUACUGACGCUGAGGUGCGAAAGCGUGGGGAGCAAACGGG
rnacentral:rRNA from 1 species